rnacentral:siRNA from 1 species
AUGUUGUCUAUGGCCGUUACGGAC